GACGAACGCUGGCGGCGUGCUUAACACAUGCAAGUCGAACGAUGAAGCCGGAGCUUGCUCUGGUGAAUUAGUGGCGAACGGGUGAGUAACACGUGAGUAACCUGCCCUUGACUCUGGGAUAACUGCUAGAAAUGGUAGCUAAUACCGGAUACGACCCUCGGAGGCAUCUCCAGGGGGUGGAAAGAAUUUCGGUCAAGGAUGGACUCGCGGCCUAUCAGCUAGUUGGUGAGGUAACGGCUCACCAAGGCGACGACGGGUAGCCGGCCUGAGAGGGUGCGCGGCCACACUGGGACUGAGACACGUCCCAGACUCCGACGGGAGGCAUCAGUGGGUAAUAUUGCACAAUGGUCGCAAGCCUGAUGCAGCACCGCCGCGUGAGGGAUGACGGCCUUCGGGUUGUAAACCUCUUUCAGCACCGACGAAGCGCAAGUGACGGUAGGUGCAGAAGAAGGACCGGCCAACUACGUGCCAGCCGCCGCCGUAA
rnacentral:rRNA from 1 species